AUGGAGGACUGAGAAGGUGGAGCAGUU
rnacentral:piRNA from 1 species